AAGAUCGUGCUUCAUAGGAUCAUUUCUAUAGUACGGUCGCCGAGACGCAUCCGCGGUAUCGGAGCACACUCGGCCACGAUGAUGAGGGUCUCCGCCUGAGAGUGAAGCCGGUUUCGGAACUCUGGGCUUCUACCCAGGUUCCUGCCAUUGAUGACCAUUUCCACGGCCUAUGAGGCUUAAGGGAGGGCGGAGACUCGGUCUGAGUGGC